rnacentral:rRNA from 1 species
GACGAACGCUGGCGGCGUGCUUAACACAUGCAAGUCGUACGGUAAGGCCCUUUCGGGGGUACACGAGUGGCGAACGGGUGCGUAACACGUGAGUAACCUGCCCACAACUUUGGGAUAACGCUAGGAAACUGGUGCUAAUACUGGAUAUGUGCUCCUGCUGCAUGGUGGGGGUUGGAAAGCUCCGGCGGUUGUGGAUGGACUCGCGGCCUAUCAGCUUGUUGGUGGGGUAGUGGCCUACCAAGGCGGCGACGGGUAGCCGGCCUGAGAGGGUGACCGGCCACAUUGGGACUGAGAUACGGCCCAGACUCCUACGGGAGGCAGCGGUGGGGAAUAUUGCACAAUGGGCGCAAGCCUGAUGCAGCAACGCCGCGUGCGGGAUAACGGCCUUCGGGUUGUAAACCGCUUUCAGCAGGGACGAAGCUUUUUGUGACGGUACCUGCAGAAGAAGCACCGGCUAACUACGUG